UACAAGGAGUUAAUAUACUAUUAUUUUUAACAUUUUUUUUCAUGAUAGAACUCAGCAACAAAAUUUCUUUGAUCAAACUUUGGAUUAGGAUUAUUUUGAAGCACGAAUGAUUUUUACAUGAAGCUCUUUUCUCGUUUUCUUUAUGUAUUUGUGAGAAAUUCAUUUUUUAGUCUAUAGUAGUUUUGGAUAAUUAAAGUCGCUAUUUUGGGAAAAUCCAAGUUUCAAUCUUGUGAUUAUAUGAGUUAGGUACAGCGUAAAAUCUGCUUUGUGUUGGAAUGAGUAGCAAAAUUGAAACUUUUCAAGUAUAUUCAAUCGUUGGACUGUUGGAGUAUUGGAUAAUAAAGUUUCUAUCUUGAAGAAAAAAAAGAGUUGGCAAAAUGAUAUCUUCAGGAUGAAUUUGGUGAUGACUGCGAUUGGAUUUGCAGUUAGUACUAUGUUCAUAGUAUUUGUCUGCACUAGGCUAAUUUGUGCAAGAAGAUCACACAAUUUUUUCCCUACUCCGAUCUUGUUGUCACGUGUAUUUUUCGUAAUUGACCGGUGUUAGAGGGAUUUUCAAGAGAGUCGACUCAGGUCAGACAGACAGACGUGUAGACCUCUUCAAUAAGUGUUGCUCGAGUUCAGCAUUAUUGAUAGCGAGAACACUUGCUUCCCCAUCCACCAAAAAGCAGCCCGAGCCCCCAGCAGCAGCUCCCACAAGGGGCAGAGGGAGAGACCGAGGUCGUGCUAGAGGUCGA